GGGGGGACAUAAAGGGAAACCCACACACCCAAGGAGGAGGGCUCUGGCCAUGCAAGGCUGAAGGCCCAGUGUACUGAUAUGAAAACUGAAGCUCAGACAGAAGAGGCGACGUUGCUUUCUUAACCACUGGAUUUGCAGUGCUGUGGUUCUCAGAAGAGGCCAGGACAGGUUAAUCCACUCACUUGGGAGGCAGGCAGCCGGUGCAGAGCUGAGAAUUUACCCCAGGCUACCAGCCUUCCGGCUGAGAGAGCAAGCUGACGCACGGUUCCUCAGCUGUCCCAUGGAGCCUGUUGCGGCCAUCCACCUCCUUCAAAGGAAGGAAAUCUUUCCAUAUCACCCAGGCUGAUCUUCAACGAACUGGACUCAAGUAUUCCUCCCACCUCGGCCUCCAGGGGGGACUGUUUGACGCCAGAGUGGAGACGGUCAGGCAGCCACUCGGGCCUUGGAAGCAAAGUCAAAAUUUGUAUCCUACAGGUUGAAUGUACAGCUGGUAUAAAAAUGGUGCUUUGUCGUCAUGAAGAAGGUGUAUUCUGGGAUCAAACCACCUGGCUGGAGAUGCUUACUAACCUCAGUUUCUUCAUCUGACCUUACCUUUCUAAAAGAAUAAGAAGAAGAUGAUACAUAUUCCUCUAAAGUCCCAACAGGAACCUUUUCCCCUCACUCCCUCCCCAGAGAUGUGUAUCAUUUCCAUGAGUGUCUGUACUUUUACAACAUGUGCAUAUUAAUAAACAAAAUAUGACAAAUUAUUUUGUCUUAAUAUUUGCAUAAAUCUAGCCAUACUCUACACCACUUUUGCAACUUUCACUAUUAUAUAUUUUGAAGAUUAUCCGUGUUUAUGCACAUAAGUUUAUCAUUUUAACUGUUGAAUAGUGUUUCAUUAUAUGAAUUAACCAUAAUUCAUCUAUUUCCCUGAGUGACAAUUAGGUUUCUUUUUGUUUUUAUGCUCUGAUGAACAAUCUUGCAAUUAUUAUCUUUGUAUAUGUCUUCAUGUAUAAGAAAUUCUCCAGGGUAGACACUUAGAAGUAAAGGGUCUGACUCAGAGAGUCUGUGUAUUUUAAAAUGUAUUGGUUAUUGUCAAAUUGUUCCUCAAAGUAGAUGUACCAAUUUACAUUCCUACAGUGGUAUAUAACAGUUUUUUUUUCUCCACAUCCUCUUCAACACUCGUCAUUACCAG
rnacentral:lncRNA from 10 species